rnacentral:lncRNA from 1 species
CUUCUAUGUCAAACAAGUUGCAGAGCUAAUAUGAGCACAUGCCCACCGCUCGUGCCAUAAUCACUCACCUGUAAGAGUUGUACGAUGAGCAGAGCCAAAUCGUGUACUUCUAAUUGUCCAAGCAGUUGUUCAAUAUGAAGAUGCAUGACAGACAAUCAAUCCACGAUCAUUAUAUGACAAUGAUCAAGGACCUUAAAGAGCUUGAGAAGCUCAGG